AGUGGUGCCACUGCCGUCAGCGAGAGUGCCUGCGCCUGUUAACUUAACACAUCGACCGAACUCGACGAGACGUCACAUAAGAUCAUCGCUAAGAUGAUCGUAGCCACCCUCACGACACUUGCGCUGGUUGCCAGCCUUUCGACGGGACUGCCACAGGGCCAGCCAGCCCAGGC